GACGAACGCUGGCGGCGUGCCUAAUACAUGCAAGUCGUGCGGACCUUGUUGAAAGCUUGCUUUUAAAAGGUUAGCGGCGGACGGGUGAGUAACACGUGGGCAACCUGCCUGUAAGACUGGGAUAACGCCGGGAAACCGGGGCUAAUACCAGAUCGUUUUUUCCUCCGCAUGGAGGGAAAAGGAAAGGCGGCUUCGGCUGCCACUUACAGAUGGGCCCGCGGCGCAUUAGCUAGUUGGCGGGGUAAUGGCCCCCCAAGGCAACGAUGCGUAGCCGACCUGAGAGGGUGAUCGGCCACAUGGGGACUGAGACACGGCCCAAACUACUACGGGAGGCAGCAGUAGGGAAUCUUCCGCAAUGGACGAAAGUCUGACGGAGCAACGCCGCGUGAGUGAAGGAGGCCUUCGGGUCGUAAAACUCUGUUGCCGGGGAAGAACAAGUGCCGUUCGAACAGGGCGGCGCCUUGACGGUACCCGGCCAGAAAGCAACGGCUAACUACGUG
rnacentral:rRNA from 1 species